UCUGUCUUCUAUGAAGUUUUACAUAAUACCCCUUUGGAAUGCCUUUGUACGGAUGAGAGAAGCACUCACUCUAUAGAAAUGCUUGUUAGGAUGAAUAUUAAAACAUUAACAUAUACAUAUGGGGAUAAUUCCCAAUAAAACUCUGUUCCUAAACUUGAACCUUGAUUUGAUACUCAAAAUUAAUUACUUUAAUAAUCCAGAAUAAUUCAAUACUCUUGGAUUAACA